AUGCUCGCUUUGGUAGCACAUACGCUAAAAUUGGAACAAUAAAGAGAAGAUUAGUAUGGCCCCUGUGCAAAGAUGACAUGCAAAUUCAUGAAGUGUUCCAUAUUUUA
ensembl:snRNA U6 U6 spliceosomal RNA